AUGUUAAAGAAAGAGAUAAUGGAUCUGGCUAUGCAGCGGGACCUUGCCCACACUCAAAUUACGGACAUGCUUAAAGUGGUUGUAGACGAUAUGUCCUCGACUGAUAUGGUGGUGAAACUAGCAACAGGCAUUAGGGAGAGGAAUGAUUGGUUGAGUCUGGGGAGAUUGCGUGCUAUGCUUGUAUCGAGCCACGUGAUGUUAGGGAGGUGCGAUGAUGGCUAG